GACAAACGCUGGCGGCGUGCCUAACACAUGCAAGUCGAACGGACUUAGCCCUUCGGGGCGAAAGUUAGUGGCGAACGGGUGAGUAACGCGUGAGUAACCUGCCCUUCAGUGGGGGACAACAGUUGGAAACGACUGCUAAUACCGCAUAACGUAUUCGGAUGGCAUCAUCUGGAUACCAAAGAUUUAUUGCUGAAGGAUGGGCUCGCGUCUGAUUAGAUAGUUGGUGGGGUAACGGCCUACCAAGUCGACGAUCAGUAGCCGGACUGAGAGGUUGAACGGCCACAUUGGGACUGAGAUACGGCCCAGACUCCUACGGGAGGCAGCAGUGGGGAAUCUUCCGCAAUGGGCGAAAGCCUGACGGAGCAACGCCGCGUGAGUGAAGAAGUAUUUCGGUAUGUAAAGCUCUAUCAGCAAGGAAGAUAAUGACGGUACUUGACUAAGAAGCCCCGGCUAACUACGUG
rnacentral:rRNA from 1 species